rnacentral:rRNA from 1 species
UACGUAGGUGGCAAGCGUUGUCCGGAUUUACUGGGUGUAAAGGGCGUGUAGCCGGGUUGACAAGUCAGAUGCGAAAUCCUGCGGCUUAACCGCAGAACUGCAUUUGAAACUGUUGAUCUUGAGUACUGGAGAGGCAGACGGAAUUCCUAGUGUAGCGGUGAAAUGCGUAGAUAUUAGGAGGAACACCAGUGGCGAAGGCGGUCUGCUGGACAGCAACUGACGGUGAGGCGCGAAAGCGUGGGGAGCAAACAGG